rnacentral:rRNA from 1 species
CCCUUAGAUGUUCUGGGCUGCACGCGUGCUACACUGAUUAUUUCAACAAGUGUUUUAACUGGAGAGUUUGCGUAAUCCUGAAAUGUUAUCGUGAUGGGAGUAGAGUAUUGUAUUUGUUAAUCUUUAACGAGGAAUUCCUAGUAAGUGUAGGUUUAUAAGUUGUUCUGAUUACGUCCCUGCCCUUUGUACACACCGCCCGUCGCUCCUACCGAUUGAUUGAUCCGUGAAUUACAUAGAAUUUUGCGUUUUACAUGACGGAAGAGGAAGUGUUUUAAACCUUAUCAUUUAGAGGAAGGAGAAGUCGUAACA